rnacentral:rRNA from 1 species
CUUCCUGCGCCGCUGACAGAUACUGAAGUGGGGACGUGCUGUGGAAAGCAAGCGGGCGACUAGAAGUGCCCGUGCCGCAAGGCCGAGAGCGUUUACGAUCUCGAAGUUGUUGGAAGCAGGACCAAGAAAAGCCACGUAGGGUUCAAGCUGUCGCGACCGUACUAAAACAGACACAAGUAGGCGAGGUGAAUAUCCUAAGGCGCUCGAGAGAAUUGACAUUAAGGAACUAGGCAAAUUGACCCCGUAACUUCGGGAUAAGGGGUACCGUGGUAGGGUUUAUAGCCCGAGACGGUGACACUAAAAUGGCUCUAGCGACUGUUUACUAAAACACAGCACGGUGCAAACACGCAAGUGGACGUAUACCGUGUGACGCGUGCUCGGUGUCGGUAGGUUAAGGGGAAGGGUUAGCCGCAAGGCGAAGCUCAUAACCGAAGCCCCGAUAAACGGCGGCCGUAACUAUGACGGUCCUAAGGUAGCGAAGUUCCUUGUCGGGUAAGUUCCGACCUGCAUGAAUCGCGUAACGACUGGAGCACUGUCUCAAUGUCAAACUCGGUGAAACUGCAGUCGACGUGAAGAUACGUCGUUCCCGCAACAAGACGGAAAGACCCCAUGAACCUUUACUGUAGGUUAGUAUUGUGCUUAGGCACAGCCUGUGUAGCAUAGGUGGGAGGCGAUGAAGCGGUGGCGCAAGCCAUCGUGGAGCCGCAACAUGAAAUACCACUCUGGCUGUUUCUGAGUCCUAACCUGGUCCCGUGAAUCCGGGCCGGGGACAGUGCUAAUUGGGCAGUUUGACUGGGGCGGUCUCCUCCCAAAGAGUAACGGAGGAGUUCAAAGGUACCCUCAGCCCGGUUGGCAAUCGGGCAUUGAGCAUAAGGGUAGAAGGGUGCUUGACUGCGAGUCUGAUAAGACGAGCAGAUGCGAAAGCAGGACCUAGUGAUCCGGCGGUUCCGAAUGGAAGGGCCGUCGCUCAUCAGAUAAAAGGUACUCUGGGGAUAACAGGCUUAUCGCCCCCGAGCGUCCAUAGCGGCGGGGCGGUUUGGCACCUCGAUGUCGGCUCAUCGCAUCCUGGGGCUGGAGAAGGUCCCAAGGGUUUGGCUGUUCGCCAAUGAAAGCGUUACGUGAGCUGGGUUUAGACCGUCGUGAGACAGGUCGGUCCCUAUCUGUUGUGGGCGUAAGAAACUUGAAGGGAUUUCUUCUUUAGUACGAGAGGAUUUGGAAGGACGCACCUCUAGUGUCCCAGUUAUCGCGCUAGCGGUAUGGCUGGGUAGCCACGUGCGGCAUGGAUAAACGCUGAAAGCAUAUAAGCGUGAAGCCAGUCCCAAGAUGAGGUUUCUUAGACCCCUGGAAGACUACCAGGUUGAUAGGCUGGGUGUGUAAAGGCGGCAACGUCUUAGCUUACCAGUACUAACGGUCAUUCGCUUGGCCAC